rnacentral:lncRNA from 1 species
AGCAAGAAGAAGAAGAAGAAGACGAUGGAGGAGAUUGAGGGGAAAGCACAAAGAUGAGGGAGAGGAGUCACAUGCGUUUCGUCUUCCUUAGGGUAUGAGACCAUUCCUGCAUCGUUUAUCUUUAUCCGAGUGCGUGUCGGAGAGGGUAAGAUUCUUCGUGUACAAGAUUGUCGUGUAGGGAGGAAGAAGAGAGGCCGUACGCUCUGCCCGCUCUGCCCGCUGUGGAGCAAGGGAGGACCAGAGGAGCCAUGUCUCCUCACGGGUGUCAAGAGGGGAGCGGAGGGACCUGCACGGUAAGCAUCUUCGUCCAUGAAGAUGUCGAUCUCGGGCUGCUGAUUGCAAGAUUGCUGACGACCUCAAGAAUCGAUGAUCACGUCGUUGGUAGAUACACACGGUAGAUCUUGAGGCUCUCAUGCAAGCUUACAACAAGUCAUGCUGAGGUUCAAACAUCGCCAUUGCCAAGAUGUCUGCUUUAGCCUUUCCUCUUAUCAGUCCUUCCAAGUGCAAGCGAUUCUUAACGCCAUUGCCUGCGGACUCAGUUGAUGAUGAGCGAAAACUUGCUUCAGAACCUCGUGCUUCUUCCUCCUGUGGCCAGAGUCAGUUCUACGUCACACUCUUGUUCGAACUCUGACACCGUAUCUUCUUCUUCUUCUUCUUCUUCUCUGUCCGUGUAUUCAUUUGCUGGAAGUUCAAGAACGAGUACCCGUUCACCGGGGCUAAACCAAG